UACACAGAAAUGCGAUGCCAUCAACACCGUAUCACAGGCAGCAUGAGGGGCUUUGAACAACAAGCCCUGCUGUAAAGCAGUUCUGCUGAGCAUGGCAAAUCUCUAAAUUUGGCCAAGUGGUGGCGUAACAUGCUUGGUUACCUGUAGGAUCCAGAUAUCGUAACCAAUCUAUAUGAUGAAGAGCUGAGGAGCUGAAGUGAUAGUUCUUAGCUUCAUGUUAUUAGCCAGGCAAAUGAAAGAAGCUACCUAUAAAGCAUCAAGGAUGAUCUUGCGUCCUUCAAACGAUGGAUGAAGUGAAGAGAAUUUGUCCCCUUUAUCCUUCCUCCUUCGCCAAACAAGUGCUGCAAGAUUCAGGCCAAUCCAGCAGAAGGAUGGAAACAGACUGGGAUCCACCUUCAUAAAGGUCUCCUGGGGACACAAAGCACUGGUGAGCACGGGCAGAAUGUGGUGAGCUUCUUAUCAUAGAAUCAUAGAAGAGCCUGUGGAGUAAGGCGGAUCAAUUUACUGUACAUCUGGGCUGAUUUAUGCCAUCAGCCAAAAGGGCUGUGUGCUGAGCCUGCCAGCAAGCAUCAAAUCUUCCCAGCCCUCUCCUUGCCCUGGGGCAUCGUGCUACUGGCCUG